rnacentral:rRNA from 1 species
UGCCGCGUGAGGGAUGACGGCCCUCGGGACGUAAACUUCUUUCCUCGGGACGAUAAUGACGGUACCGGGAGAAGAAGCCCCGGCUAACUUCGUGCCAGCAGCCGCGGUAAU